GAUGAACGCUGGCGGCGUGCCUAAUACAUGCAAGUCGAGCGAAUGGAUUAAGAGCUUGCUCUUAUGAAGUUAGCGGCGGACGGGUGAGUAACACGUGGGUAACCUGCCCAUAAGACUGGGAUAACUCCGGGAAACCGGGGCUAAUACCGGAUAACAUUUUGAACCGCAUGGUUCGAAAUUGAAAGGCGGCCUCGGCUGUCACUUAUGGAUGGACCCGCGUCGCAUUAGCUAGUUGGUGAGGUAACGGCUCACCAAGGCAACGAUGCGUAGCCGACCUGAGAGGGUGAUCGGCCACACUGGGACUCGGACACGGCCCAGACUCCUACGGGAGGCAGCAGUAGGGAAUCUUCCGCAAUGGACGAAAGUCUGACGGAGCAACGCCGCGUGAGUGAUGAAGGCUUUCGGGUCGUAAAACUCUGUUGUUAGGGAAGAACAAGUGCUAGUUGAAUAAGCUGGCACCUUGACGGUACCUAACCAGAAAGCCACGGCUAACUACGUGCCAGCCGCCGCUGUAA
rnacentral:rRNA from 1 species